GCAGGCAGAUUCUCAACCACUGCGCCACCAGGGAAGCCCUGAGCUGCAUCUUUAUGUUAAGUGUUGGGGGCGGGGGAGAGAGGAGCACAUGUGUCUGUGUACAGCAGUUAUGUCUAGCCAGUGGAUUCAACUUGUGCAAACUGUGUGUAAUGGGCCCUACCACUAACAAACCAGGACAUUUGAACAGAGUGGUUUAUAGUUUAUAAUUGGCUUCCUAUUACUGUUGGCUGAUUCUCCUGCACAGAGAGUAUUACUCCAGGAUUGGUAUUUGAUUUAAGAAAUUUUCAAAUUGAUUUUAUCUUCAGUGCAUUAAUGCGUGGCCUAAAUUCUUGCAGAGCCAUUAGAUAACCAGCCUGGACAUGCUUUAGCAAUUGUAACUGGAUCUGAGCUGGCAGUGCUACAGCUUUUAUUCAGCAUAGAUAAAUCACUUUUCUGAAAACUCUUUUCUGCCUAAGCCCUGUGACUUAUUUUUUAGGACACCUCAAGUGUAGGCCCCUUGAAAUCUGAAUAUAUUCCCCAAAUCAUUCUAAGACACACAAACAGGAAUUUGUUAACACAAGUAGAAUUAAUCUCUAUCUUCCUGUCAGAACAGAACACAAAUAUUCAAGGAAUGGUGUGGAAAUCAGCCUAAUUUUCAAGCGUGCACAAUUGUAAUGCCUUGUAAAAUCCGGAAAUAUGAAAUGUGACUCCAGUAAUGAAAAUGCUAUAAACGUAACUGAGUACAUGGAAAACUGGAGGAUGUUCUGCAAUUUCAUGAGGAUUAGCAUAGGUGAGGAAACUGCAAUUCACAAAGGUUACGUUAUUUGUCAACAUCAUCCAGCAAGUGACUGACAACCCUGGGAUUUGAAUGGAGCUCUGCCUGGUUUGCCUGUUGUCGGCUCAGCCCCGAGAGAAGCACACCGGGCCCACAAAGCUUUCUUUCCAGCUGAGGCUUAGAGGUUAGCCAAUCCAACCUGGAGUCUUGUGCUUCUUUGCCAAACAACGCAGGUGCUCCGGUGGGUCCAGGCCCAUGGCUUCGUUGAGUACACAUCCCUGGAAGCAGCAGCCACUGAGGUGAUUCUUUGUCCACUACCCAAUUGGGCAACUGCUCGUCUCAGUACAGAACCUGCUUCCCCCUGCUUAUACCUUUUAAAAAGCAUGUUGUUAGGUUCAUACAAAUUUAGAAUUGUUAUAUCUUCCUGGUAAAUUGGAUUUUUAUCAUUAUGAAAUGACCACCCCUCUCCAUUAUGAGAUGUUUUGGGCUUUAAAGUCUAUUUUAUUCUGUAACGAAUCUAGCCAUGUCAGCUUUCUUUUGUUUAGUAUUUGUAUAACAUGCUUUUUCUACCUUUCCACUGUCAACCUUUUUUGUAUAUUUAUUCUUUAGGUAUAUUUCUUAUAGACAAUAUAUAGUUGGAUUUUUAUUAUCUACUCUGGCAAUCUUUGCCUUUCAAAUGAAAUAUUUAUUUUUUAUACCUCAAGAUAAUCUUACCAUUAUUUACAGUCAAUAUUCAUUUAGACGUUUUACUUGGGAUCAUUUUUUGUCUGCCUGUAAUAAAACAUUUAGAAUGUCUUUAGUGUAUUUGAUCUAGUGGCAAACUGUUUCGGUUUUGUUUGUCUGAAAAUGUCACCUUUAUGGUUGAUUUCCUCCUUAAUUCCUAACAUGUUGGAAGAAAACAAAUGUUAAUUCAGAAUUCUUACACCUAGCAAAAAUAUCCUUCAAGAAUGAAGACAAAAUAGACAUAUCAUCAUUCCACUGAACUCUUAGUUCUUUCCACCUGCUCUUCCCUACCAAUCCCAAGAAUUUUGGCAGAGAGCACAAAGAUAUUGAGCUUAUCUAAGACUCAUCUUCUUUUUACUUCAUCUCAUAUCCUGAUUUCCUGUUAAGUCCUGUAAACUCUAUUACAAUCUAACCAUUUCUUACUUCCUCCACUUCUACUACCUUAGCUUAAACUACUGUCAUCUCACCCAAACUGUAGCAAUAGCUUCCUAAUUGGUCUCUCUGCUUCCUCUCUUACCACCCACAUGAUGUUGACACAACAUCCUUUUAUAAUGCAAAGGAGAUAUUGUUAUUUUCUGCUCAGAACCCUCCGAUGUCUUCCCAUCACAUUUAGCAUCAAAUGCAAACUCUGUGCAUAGUGUCCAUGAUGUGGCUUCUCCCUACCUCUCUCACUUCAUUUCCUACCACACUCCUCCUUGUUCACUGAGCUCCAGCCACACUGGACUCCUGCUGUUCCUCACUCAUGCCCAGUUCGCUUCUAUCUCCGGAUCCUCCCAGGUGCUCCUGCUUCUGCCUGGAGUGUUCCCCCCAGAGGGAGCCCACCUCCCUCCCUCACUUCAUUCCCACCUCUGCUCAAAUGUUAACUCAUCAGUGAGGGUUUCCCUGAACUCCCUAAAAUAAAAUUCUCUCAUUCUCUAUCCUCUACUCUGCUUUAAUUUUCUUCCUAACAAUGAUAACUACCUGACCUUAUUUCAUAUGUACUAGAGUAUAAACUCAAGGAGGACAAU